GGUUAUCUUGGGCUCACUUUGAUGAUCGAAAGAUCUGUUUAGCCCAAAGAGUGUAUGGGUUAGCAAGAAUACACCAAACACACUUAGCCAUCUUUUUAUUGACAAUAAAAGAAGUAGAAAGAUAUCUAUAAUAUCCUAACCCAAUUUGACCUAGCCCAUUUCGAAUAGGGCCCAACAAGGCCUUUGCACAGAUUUGAAGCAUUCAAAAAAGAAGAAGAAGAAACAACGG
rnacentral:lncRNA from 1 species